rnacentral:rRNA from 1 species
GUGGAUUAGUGGCGAACGGGUGAGUAACACGUGAGUAACCUGCCCUUGACUCUGGGAUAAGCCUGGGAAACUGGGUCUAAUACUGGAUAUGACUUCUCACCGCAUGGUGGGGGGUGGAAAGAUUUAUUGGUCUUGGAUGGACUCGCGGCCUAUCAGCUUGUUGGUGAGGUAAUGGCUCACCAAGGCGACGACGGGUAGCCGGCCUGAGAGGGUGACCGGCCACACUGGGACUGAGACACGGCCCAGACUCCUACGGGAGGCAGCAGUGGGGAAUAUUGCACAAUGGGCGCAAGCCUGAUGCAGCGACGCCGCGUGAGGGAUGACGGCCUUCGGGUUGUAAACCUCUUUCAGUAGGGAAGAAGCGAAAGUGACGGUACCUGCAGAAGAAGCGCCGGCUAACUACGUGCCAGCAGCCGCGGUAAUACGUAGGGCGCGAGCGUUAUCCGGAAUUAUUGGGCGUAAAGAGCUCGUAGGCGGUUUGUCGCGUCUGCCGUGAAAGUCCGGGGCUUAACCCCGGAUCUGCGGUGGGUACGGGCAGACUAGAGUGCAGUAGGGGAGACUGGAAUUCCUGGUGUAGCGGUGAAAUGCGCAGAUAUCAGGAGGAACACCGAUGGCGAAGGCAGGUCUCUGGGCUGUAACUGACGCUGAGGAGCGAAAGCAUGGGGAGCGAACAGGAUUAGAUACCCUGGUAGUCCAUGCCGUAAACGUUG